CCCAGUAUGGCACUAGAGUGUACUAUGGUAUUUAUACGCACACAGAUAAUCCGCAAGCGCACGGAAACCGUUGAAGCUUUUACCCGGUUAAAGGUUUUAUCGUAUCCACAGGGAAACGGGAGAACCAACUACGCUCUAACUUAACCAGGAUAGAUAGAUAAGUGUAAAUAGGAAAGAUGGUAGAAUCGAAUAAGAACAAUAUUAAAGGUAAGAUAACAGUGAGUGAUAAUAUGGGAAUAGAGAGUAGAGCAAUUCUAGUAUAUGGGCGAUGGUAGCAGAAUAGAGAGAAUAACUAUGGUUUCUCUACUUCAAAGGGGCAUGUCUAUGUCUGGGACGAACCACGUGAUAAGAGUACACCACAAAGGAUGCUUAUCCUUAGGC
rnacentral:lncRNA from 1 species